rnacentral:rRNA from 1 species
ACGAACGCUGGCGGCGUGCUUAACACAUGCAAGUCGAACGGAAAGGCCCUGCUUUUGUGGGGUGCUCGAGUGGCGAACGGGUGAGUAACACGUGAGUAACCUGCCCUUGACUUUGGGAUAACUUCAGGAAACUGGGGCUAAUACCGGAUAGGAGCUCCUGCUGCAUGGUGGGGGUUGAAAGUUUCGGCGGUUGGGGAUGGACUCGCGGCUUAUCAGCUUGUUGGUGGGGUAGUGGCUUACCAAGGCUUUGACGGGUAGCCGGCCUGAGAGGGUGACCGGCCACAUUGGGACUGAGAUACGGCCCAGACUCCUACGGGAGGCAGCAGUGGGGAAUAUUGCACAAUGGGCGGAAGCCUGAUGCAGCAACGCCGCGUGCGGGAUGACGGCCUUCGGGUUGUAAACCGCUUUCGCCUGUGACGAAGCGUGAGUGACGGUAAUGGGUAAAGAAGCACCGGCUAACUACGUG